UUUCUCUGCCUCACAGUACAAUGAAAUUCUUGGCAAAGGAGCUUUUAAAGACACUGUGUGAACCUCAUUUCCUCAUAUUGUUUUGAACUUUCAUUGUUUACACUACAAGAAUCGUUCUUCAAUAGUUGACAAUUGGUGGUAGAGAACUCAUGGCUUGAGAGAGGAGGCAUUGCUUAUAACACAGUUUUGUUAGAUAACAGUCGGUAGUGGCCACAAGUGACAAGGUUCAUUCUUAACGUUCUCUAAUGUGAUUUGUGCAUUUUAAUUUUUCUUUUUCUUCAUAUUUGUUGACACUAUUAAACCAAUUUGAUAAGAAUGGAUUUAGAUUUUAAUUUUAAGAUUGUUUUGUAUUGAAUUUGUUUUGGGUCGAAAAAUGUAGGGUUCUUUGUUUGUUGGGCUUUUGUGAGUAGUUGGCAUUUGGUUAAAUUAGUGUUUAGUCGCUUUGUAUUUAGUUUCCCACCAAAAACACCAAUCUUAAAAUGUCAGGUUACGAGCUAUAAUUUAUGUCAAGAUUGAUUUGUUUAACCUUGGUUGUUUAGGUAAUGGAUUUAAUUUUUGUGCUAGCUAAAGAAAGUGAUAAUGGCAUUUCUACCAAUCAUUGCUUCAAUCACUCAGUCGGUCAUCUCCCUCCUAUUCAAAAGGCUGCUACUUGUCACCCAUCAUGUUUAAUGCAAGCCUUGAUUUUCAAUAGGCUCCUGAAGAACCUAUUACAUUAGAAUCAGACAUUAGCAC